rnacentral:rRNA from 1 species
GAUCUCCCGCUUGCGGGGGUGAUUAGUGGCGAACGGGUGAGUAAUACGUGAGUAACCUGCCCUUGACUCUGGGAUAAGCCUGGGAAACCGGGUCUAAUACUGGAUACGACCUCCUGUCGCAUGGUGGGGGGUGGAAAGGGUUUGACUGGUUUUGGAUGGGCUCACGGCCUAUCAGCUUGUUGGUGGGGUAAUGGCUCACCAAGGCGACGACGGGUAGCCGGCCUGAGAGGGUGACCGGCCACACUGGGACUGAGACACGGCCCAGACUCCUACGGGAGGCAGCAGUGGGGAAUAUUGCACAAUGGGCGCAAGCCUGAUGCAGCGACGCCGCGUGAGGGAUGACGGCCUUCGGGUUGUAAACCUCUUUCAGCAGGGAAGAAGCCACAAGUGACGGUACCUGCAGAAGAAGCGCCGGCUAACUACGUGCCAGCAGCCGCGGUAAUACGUAGGGCGCAAGCGUUGUCCGGAAUUAUUGGGCGUAAAGAGCUCGUAGGCGGUUUGUCGCGUCUGCUGUGAAAGCCCGGGGCUCAACCCCGGGUCUGCAGUGGGUACGGGCAGACUAGAGUGCAGUAGGGGAGACUGGAAUUCCUGGUGUAGCGGUGAAAUGCGCAGAUAUCAGGAGGAACACCGAUGGCGAAGGCAGGUCUCUGGGCUGUUACUGACGCUGAGGAGCGAAAGCAUGGGGAGCGAACAGGAUUAGAUACCCUGGUAGUCCAUGCCGU